GAUGAAGAACGUAGCGAAAUGCGAUACGUAAUGUGAAUUGCAGAAUUCAGUGAAUCAUCGAAUCUUUGAACGCACAUUGCGCCUGCCAGCACUCUGGCAGGCAUGCCUGUUCGAGCGUCAUUUCAACCAUCAAGCCCUAGGCUUGCGUUGGAGCCCUGCGGCUGCCGCAGGCCCCUAAAAGCAGUGGCGGGCUCGCUAUCACACCGAGUGCAGUAGAUUACUCUUCGCUCAGGGCGUGUGGCGGGUUCCAGCCGUGAAACCCCUACUUCUCAAGGUUGACCUCGGAUCAGGUAGGAAUACCCGCUGAACUUAAGCAUAUCAAUAAGCGGAGGA
rnacentral:misc_RNA from 1 species